rnacentral:rRNA from 1 species
AUGCUGUGCGGCUUGUCGACGCUGGCCCCCAUGACGGCGUCCGCGACGUCCCUGAGCCCGGCCUGGCGGAGCCACGGCCUGCCCAUCUAGUCGGCCGCGAGGUGGCGCAGGUCGACGGUGUUGGCGACCCCGAGACCGUGGUCGUUGCUGAGGCGGUUGGCGUCGUCCUGCACGCCGACGCCGACGAAGCGGAAGUCCGGGUCGGCGAGGAAGGUGACGAGCGCCUGUGGGAAGUAG